rnacentral:rRNA from 1 species
AUUGAACGCUGGCGGCAUGCUUUACACAUGCAAGUCGAACGGUAACAGGGUGCUUGCACCGCUGACGAGUGGCGAACGGGUGAGUAAUGCGUCGGAACGUGCCGAGUAGUGGGGGAUAACGCAGCGAAAGUUGUGCUAAUACCGCAUACGUACUGAGGUAGAAAGUGGGGGACCUUCGGGCCUCACGCUAUUCGAGCGGCCGACGUCUGAUUAGCUAGUAUGUGAGGUAAAGGCUCACCUAGGCGACGAUCAGUAGCGGUUCUGGGAGGAUGGUCCGCCACACUGGGACUGAGACACGGCCCAGACUCCUACGGGAGGCAGCAGUGGGGAAUGUUGGACAAGGGGCGAAAGCCUGAUCCAGCCAUGCCGCGUGUCUGAAGAAGGCCUUCGGGUUGUAAAGGACUUUUGUCAGGGAGGAAAUCCCUAGUGCUAAUAACACUGGGGGAUGACAGUACCUGAAGAAUAAGCACCGGCUAACUACGUGCCAGCAGCCGCAGUAA